GGGGAUUUAGCUCAGUGGUAGAGCGCUUGCCUAGCAAGCGAAAGGCCCUGGGUUCGGUUCCCAGCUCUG
rnacentral:tRNA from 1 species